rnacentral:rRNA from 1 species
UACGAAGGGGGCUAGCGUUGCUCGGAAUUACUGGGCGUAAAGCGCACGUAGGCGGCUUUCUAAGUCGGAGGUGAAAUCCUGGAGCUCAACUCCAGAACUGCCCUUGAUACUGAGGAGCUUGAGUCCGGGGAGAGGUGAGUGGAACUGCGAGUGUAGAGGUGAAAUUCGUAGAUAUUCGCAAGAACACCAGUGGCGAAGGCGGCUCACUGGCCCGGUACUGACGCUGAGGUGCGAAAGCGUGGGGAGCAAACAGG